UCGGGGGUAGCUCAAUCGGCAGAGCAAAUGGCUGUUAACCAUUAGGUUGAGAGUUCGAGUCUCUCCCCCCGAG
rnacentral:tRNA from 1 species